AAGCUCGUAGUUGAACCUUGGACCUGGCUGAUCUGUCCUCCUAAUCGAGCGUACGGAUUCGGUCGGGUCUUUCCUUCUGGGGAACCCUAUGUCCUUCAUUGGGUGUAGUGGGGAACCAGGACUUUUACCUUGAAAAAAUUAGAGUGUUCAAAGCAGGCCUUUGCUCGAAUACAUUAGCAUGGAAUAAUAGAAUAGGACAUCGGUUCUAUUUUGUUGGUUUCUAGGACCGCUGUAAUGAUUAAUAGGGAUAGUCGGGGGCGUCCGUAUUCAAUUGUCAGAGGUGAAAUUCUUGGAUUUAUUGAAGACGAACUACUGCGAAAGCAUUCGCCAAGGAUGUUUUCAUUAAUCAGUGAACGAAAGUUAGGGGAUCGAAGACGAUCAGAUACCGUCGUAGUCUUAACCAUAAACUAUGCCGACUAGGGAUCGGACGGUGGUUUUUUUAUGCCCCGUUCGGCACC
rnacentral:rRNA from 1 species